rnacentral:lncRNA from 1 species
AAAGAGAGCCCCUGAGAAACCAAAGAGAUAGCUCCAAUUACCGGUUGCUCAGGCAAGAACGAUCAGCACAUUCUGUGGGCUGUUGACCCAAUUGCUGGACUGGACAUUGAGUUUUUUGGGGGAAACUGUCCAAUUUGUGGAGGCUCCUCGCUCUGAGGGUCUUUCAAGCAGAACAGAGACCACACGGAGGGAUAGACCAGGCCGAAGCAAUGGAGAAGACUCCCUUGGUAAGUCAGAGAGAGCAACCCUGCCUAUAACUUGAUCUUGAACUUCUGCUUCUAGUCCUGUGAGGAAAUGAGUCCCCACUGUUUAAGUCACAUGGCCUGGGAUAUUUUAUAAUGAUCAUCCUGUCAAACUAAUGAACAUGGGACCAAAACUCAGAGUCACAGAGCUGCUUGGGCCUGCUGUCUGUGGCCCCAGGAGCGGUUCCCUGCUGUUCUCAACUCAGCAGUCCAUCUCUUCCUCACAUCAAUGUCUCUUAGCAACCCAUUUGUGGCCCAGGUCAGGAAUCCUUCUUCAUUUGGGAUGGAGGGAGCAUCAUGAAGCCAGAAAUGUGAACUAAGGAAGACACGUGGUACACCUCUACUUCAGACAGUUAAACACAUUAACAGAAUUCCUAGGGAAACAUCCAAAAGGACAGGAACGAAAGGGUUGAACUUACGCAGCACAUGAGGCCUGUGGAACACAUUGAUGUGCUUAAUCGUCGUGAUCACCCCAGAAAGACCAUAUGACUGCUCGAGCCUCACGGGGAAGAAACAAGGAACCUUGAUCGAGAUUCUGGUACAUUGGAAUUCAUCAUGGAAUUGACACUAUCACUUGUGCUGUACGUGGACCGAAAUACCUGACUCUGACUUCAAUUCCACACGCCAUCUCAGCACAGCCACUUGUCAUGGAAGAGAGGAAGCCUCGAACCCCUUUGCUAGUAGCUGAGGGAUGUGUGGUGCACUGCCUGGUCAGUAGGGCACAUAGAAGGGGUAUCUUCUGGAAGAGUCUAUGACGUAGCAGCGAAAUCAAAAGUGAUGAGCCGACAUCCCCGGGAGAAUGCUCUGUGCACCAGUGGUCUUGCCAACAAGCACUGAAACGCAUUGCAUCCUCGUCUUCUGCAAAGCUUUAGAAUGCCCAUCUAAAACACCAGUUUUCGUUAACCUCAGACAUCCUUAACACAUUUCACCAAACAAGAACACCCCUCCUCAAGUAACAUCCAUUACCUUUGCACAGCCCCCAAGGGAAGGCAGAGCAUAUCUGAGGGAAAUGGUACUAGAAGAUUCCAGAAGCCCAAGCAGAAAUUCUGAACUAUUUCUUACCUCUGCUGUGCCUGGCGAUGCUUCUUACACUUUGCAAUGUGAAGCCAUUGUUUAAGCCGCACUGCCCUCUGAUCUUCACACAUGUAAGCAUGGAACAAGCAUUAACUGAAGGUACUUCUCCAUUCCCCUGCACCCUCCCAGGCGAGAAGGACCCUGCAAACACACAGCUCCUGGCUGAAAAGACUAUCUAAAAGGGAAGACAGACAUAUGAACACACAAGAGUAAAAAUCUUCUAUGAGGCAAAGUACACUUGUGGAGCUGGGGUGAGGUACAGGGAAGCCUCCCGUGAAGUGGGUUCUAAGAAGCAAUCAGAAGAGGAAACCCUUGGAGCUGUAAGGAAGCACCCCGCCCCCACCCCCGGCCACAUGGAGAAGUGCAUAUGGAGAGAGCUGUCCAGAAAACCCACUCUCCUAACGGUCACAGUCCAAUCCUCAGACACAUCUUCGAUAACUCAGUCCUAAUGAACCCAGAACGAGAAGAACCAAGGAGUCAGCCGGCCACCAGAACCCUGGCAGUACAACCCCUGCAAAAAUGGCCAGGCAGCCCCAGUUACUCAAAUGGCCUUCAUCAGGACCCAACCAUUGUGAACCAGAGACAAGCUCUCCUCUGCACUGUUCCAAUUCCUAGCCCAAAGAACUGCGGAUAUCAUAAGAUGGAGCUGUUGUUUGGUGCCACUCACACCUGGGGUGGUUUCUCACACAGCAGGAGACCGACAGAACCCUGGAGAAGCUUGGACAAUAAAUAAUCUAAUGGAAAUGAGUUGUUUAGUGAAUAACGGAAGAGCUACAGCUUGGGAAGAAAGGGUUCUGAGGUCCGAAGGUGGUGGUGGCCCCAACACAAUGCGACACCUUAAUGCCGCUGUACCCAACACUUUAAAACGACCGCUGUAAUACACUGUGUGUCACAGGCAUUUUACACAAUGGUUUUUUUUUUUUCAAUCCUGCGAAAACAGAGGCAGUUGUGCACAUGAAUUUCUCAGAUGCACAUUCCAUAUUUCAUAGUAUCUCAUCAGCCUGUCCUCUGCCCCAGUACGUGUCACUUAAUAGCCACUAUUGUGACAUUGUGGGGAGUGGCCCUGGAGAAAGUGUACAAUAUCCACAGGAAAGGUCUCACUAGCAGAUGGGCACCGUUCAUUGGAGAGAAUCUAGCAUGAUUCCAGGUGCCAUGCAGCAAGGCAGGACUGUGGGUCAGAGAUUCUAGCACCCAGAGAGGCUUGGGAAAGGGGUCUCUUCCGCUGGAUGGAGAAGGGGAUUCAGGAGGGGAUGAGAGAGCAUCCUCAUUGGGCCACUAUAUCCUCCUGAGCCUUACUCUGUGUUUGCACCUGUUUCCAGACCUUGGCUCUGAGCCAUCCAGACUCUGUAACAGGGCACUUCGAGGCCCAGGGAGCUAACCUGCUAACUGUCCGUCAAGUCUAGAAGGAGCCUUGAACCUGACCCGAAGGUUUCCUACAGAUUUCAGUGUCUCCCUCGGUUUGUGCAGAGGUCCUAAGCCCUAUGGCUUAUUUGCAGCUUGGGUCAUUAUAUUAGUUUAGGGGAGGAGUUGGGAGGAUCCUUCAUCCAUUGUGACUGAUGUCCUCCUCAAAAGUGGGCAUCUGAGUGUGCAAGGACACUGACGAGAAGGCCACCACAUAAACACCAGUUCUCGUGUAACAAGCCAGGAUGCUGUCAGAGGCCCGAAGAGAGGCCUGGAAGACAUCCUUCCCUAACCUUCAGAGAGAGCUUGGCCUGGCAUACACCCUGGUCUCAGACCUCCAGCCUCCAGACCCAUGAGAGUGCAUGUGUCCCUUGCUGGAGCGUCCCAGACCUAGGAAACCAAUGCACACUUGCCCCUCCAGAGAAACUAUUCCAGGAAGCAUAGGCAGAAACUACCAGGCCACGCUCCUCCUACAUCCCAGGCCCCUACUCAAGUCAAGUCAGACAGUUUCUCCUGUGUCCCAGGCUUCCUGAGGGAGAAACUCCCACCCCAGUUCCUCAUCCAUAUACUGAAGUCCUUACCACCAGUGCUUUGGAAUGUGACUGUGCUUGCUGAUAUAGUUACUUUUCUUGCUUCUGCAACAGAAUGCUUUGCUCAUGAAAUGGAAAUGGGAACAGUAGUAGCCCCACUCAGUCCACUCCUGGUGUCAUGGGUCCCCAAGAUGGGUUUCAGCACUUAGACAAUUUUUGUAGACCACUGUGACCCCUACACACACACACACACACACACACACACACACACCUGCCUCCUUGCAUUUGGGUAUAAUCUACUCAACAGGUCUGAACAUCUGCAAACAAUGCCAAGGGCCAGGCCUGGAAUGACAGGGGUUCCAUCAUGGGCAGUGGCAC